CCUACGGGUGGCAGCAGUGGGGAAUAUUGGGCAAUGGGCGCAAGCCUGACCCAGCAACGCCGCGUGAAGGACGAAGGCUUUCGGGUUGUAAACUUCUUUUCUCAGGGACGAAGAAAGUGACGGUACCUGAGGAAUAAGCCACGGCUAACUACGUACCAGCAGCCGCGGUAAUACGUAGGUGGCAAGCGUUAUCCGGUUUUAUUGGGUGUAAGGGUGGUGGAGGUGGGAGCGCAAGUCAGCUGUGAAAUCUCAGGGCUCAACCCUGAACCUGCAUUUGAAACUGUGUUUCUUGAGUGCUGGAGAGGCAGUCGGAAUUCGGUGUGUAGCGGUGAAAUGCGUAGAUAUACGGAGGAACACCAGUGGCGAAGGCAGAUUGCUGGACAGUAACUGACGCUGAGGCGCGAAAGCGUGGGGAGCAAACAGGAUUAGAUACCCUAGUAGUC
rnacentral:rRNA from 1 species